rnacentral:rRNA from 1 species
AGCAGUAGCCGCGGUAAUACGGAGGGGGCUAGCGUUAUUCGGAAUUACUGGGCGUAAAGCGCACGUAGGCGGCUUCGCAAGUCAGAGGUGAAAGCCUGGGGCUCAACUCCAGAAUUGCCUUUGAGACUGCGUCGCUCGAAUCCGGGAGAGGUGAGUGGAAUUCCGAGUGUAGAGGUGAAAUUCGUAGAUAUUCGGAAGAACACCAGUGGCGAAGGCGGCUCACUGGACCGGCAUUGACGCUGAGGUGCGAAAGCGUGGGGAGCAAACAGGAUUAGAGACCCCCGUAGUCCCUGUCUCUUAUAC